rnacentral:ncRNA from 1 species
CCAUUCCACCAGGGGUGCCCCGGCAAGGGGCUGAGAUACUGUUGGCGGGGCUUGAAGCCCAAUGCGCACAGUGACCCGUCGAACCUGAUCCAGUUCAUACUGGCGUAGGGACGGUGCAGAUUGCCGAUG